AUUGAACGCUGGCGGCAUGCCUUACACAUGCAAGUCGAACGGCAGCACGGGAGCAAUCCUGGUGGCGAGUGGCGAACGGGUGAGUAAUAUAUCGGAACGUGCCCAGUCGUGGGGAUAACGUAGCGAAAGCUACGCUAAUACCGCAUACGAUCUAUGGAUGAAAGCGGGGGAUCGCAAGACCUCGCGCGAUUGGAGCGGCCGAUAUCAGAUUAGGUAGUUGGUGAGGUAAAGGCUCACCAAGCCGACGAUCUGUAGCUGGUCUGAGAGGACGACCAGCCACACUGGGACUGAGACACGGCCCAGACUCCUACGGGAGGCAGCAGUGGGGAAUUUUGGACAAUGGGCGCAAGCCUGAUCCAGCAAUGCCGCGUGCAGGAUGAAGGCCUUCGGUUGGUUAAACGUUAGUACG
rnacentral:rRNA from 1 species